CAUCAUUUCUACAUUGAAUUCGUACACCUUCAAUUCACAUUAUUUAAUUAAUAUUUUAUUAUGUAGUAAAUUGACAAUUAGAUUACCUGAGAUGCCAUAUCGAUAAUUACAUAUUAUGAUGUGCUGAUCGUAUUGCAUGAUUUGCCACAACAAAUUCUGUGAGAGUUACAUCUGCCGUUCCACCAGAUUCAAGAGGUAUGGCAUUCUGACGAAAAUGUUCAAGCAUAUCAUAUAUAGCAGGAAAACAAAGAUGCUGAACACGACAAUGUCCUUGAUCAUUUAAUGUCAUACGUAAAUGCUAUAACAAAGAUUACAAAAUAAAUUAUUUUAAAUAGUUUAAAA